GGUAUUGUUUGCCCCACAGUAAGCCCCGUUAAUCUUAUUGUAUGUCAAACAUGUA
rfam:Lactobacillus salivarius TCC118, complete genome.